AUUGAACGCUGGCGGAAUGCUUUACACAUGCAAGUCGAACGGCAGCACGGACUUCGGUCUGGUGGCGAGUGGCGAACGGGUGAGUAAUGUAUCGGAACGUGCCCAGUCGUGGGGGAUAACGUAGUGAAAAUUACGCUAAUACCGCAUACGAUCUAUGGAUGAAAGCGGGGGAUCGCAAGACCUCGCGCGAUUGGAGCGGCCGAUAUCAGAUUAGGUGGUUGGUAGGGUAAAGGCCUACCAAGCCAACGAUCUGUAGCUGGUCUGAGAGGACGACUAGCCAGACUGGAACUGAGACACGGUCCAGACUCCUACGGGAGGCAGCAGUGGGGAAUUUUGGAGAAUGGGCGAAAGCCUGAUCCAGCCAUUCCGCGUGCAGGAUGAAGGCCCUCGGGUUGUAAACUGCUUUUGUACAGAACGAAAAGGUUUCUACUAAUACUAGGAGCUCAUGACGGUACUGUAAGAAUAAGCACCGGCUAACUACGUGCCAGCCGCCGCCGUAA
rnacentral:rRNA from 1 species